GUGAAUCAUCAAAUCUUUGAACGCAAAUUGCACUCUCUGGUAUUCCGGAAAGUAUGUCUGUUUGAGGGUCAGUUUAAAUAAAAUUGGUGUGGUUGCUUCCAGUAGUGGUGUGUGAUGCACUGGUAUUGAGUAGUUAUUUACCUUUGGUUUAUGUGAUAUAAAAUUAUGUUUGAUUUUUAAACGUAUUUAAAUUAUCUUUUUAUUUCUUUUUAUGUAUUUUUAG
rnacentral:misc_RNA from 1 species